rnacentral:rRNA from 1 species
GUGGGGAAUCUUCCGCAAUGGGCGAAAGCCUGACGGAGCAACGCCGCGUGAGUGAUGACGGCCUUCGGGUUGUAAAGCUCUGUUAUAUGGGACGAACGGGCAUGGGGCCAAUACCCUCAUGCAGUGACGGUACCGUAAGAGAAAGCCACGGCUAACUACGUGCCAGCAGCCGCGGUAAUACGUAGGUGGCAAGCGUUGUCCGGAAUUAUUGGGCGUAAAGGGCGUGUAGGCGGCCAGACAAGUCUGUCUUAAAAGUGCGGGGCUCAACCCCGUGAUGGGAUUGAAACUGUCGGGCUAGAGUGUCGGAGAGGAAAGCGGAAUUCCUAGUGUAGCGGUGAAAUGCGUAGAUAUUAGGAGGAACACCAGUGGCGAAGGCGGCUUUCUGGACUGUAACUGACACUGAGGCACGAAAGCGUGGGGAGCAAACAGGAUUAGAAACCCUGGUAGUCC